rnacentral:rRNA from 1 species
AUACGUAGGGGGCGAGCGUUGUCCGGAAUGACUGGGCGUAAAGGGCGUGUAGGCGGCCGAUUAAGUCUGGAGUGAAAGUCCUGCUUUCAAGGUGGGAAUUGCUUUGGAGACUGGUUGGCUUGAGUGCGGAAGAGGUAAGUGGAAUUCCCAGUGUAGCGGUGAAAUGCGUAGAGAUUGGGAGGAACACCAGUGGCGAAGGCGACUUACUGGGCCGUAACUGACGCUGAGGCGCGAAAGUGUGGGGAGCAAACAGGAUUAGAUACCCUGGUAGUCCACACUGUAAACGAUGAAUGCUAGGUGUAAGAGGUAUCGACCCCUUUUGUGCCGGAGUCAACACAAUAAGCAUUCCGCCUGGGGAGUACGGCCGCAAGGUUGAAACUCAAAGGAAUUGACGGGG